AAAAAAAAAAAAACCCUUUCGUCUCUGAACCCAGACUCAUAAACAUUGAGUGUAGGCGUGUAGCUAAACCCAGACUUAUGAACCUUUGUCUCUGAACAAUCCCUACGCCUUUACUAUCCAUCUCCAUUACUUUCAACUCACAAUCUCAAAUUCCAGGGUACUAUUGUCGGCAAAAGCUAGCAAGGAUAUUGAGGAAUCAAGGGUACUAUUGUCAGCAAAUUUCAAGGUAAUUGAGAAAUCAAUCUUGUUCUCUCUUGCUUGCUACCUCCUUCUAAUGGAUAAGGUAAGCUAGUCUUCAGAAAGUUAUUUCAAUUUUGUUCUUUUGUUUCUGAAAUUGAUCUACUCACAGAUUUGGUUGUUGUUAUUUUUGCGAGGUAAAUACUGGUAGUUAUAAGGUUGUCACUGUAUAUAUGCUUGCUAGUCUAUGUUUAGAGUUGAUUAAGCUUCUUGUUGUUAUUUUCUCCAUCAACUGGAAAUGUUAGGUUACUCUUUGUUGAUUGGUUAUGGUUGAUAAUUGCUAUUUCGUUAGGGGAAGGAGGUUUGAUUAUGAUGGGAAAGGUAAAAUGUUAGGUGUUAGGACGGGACCAUAAGAGAAUAGCCAGAGUUAGAUUCAGCUUUGAUUACCAUGGCCAAGUUGCAAAUGUCUUGCUGUUCUGGAGGUGCAAGGAGAAACUGAGUGUCGGGCUCUAUAUAUUUGUUUUUCCAAAUCCUCCAAGUUUCAUUACUUAAGUGUCAAUUGUGUUUUGUCUUUGCUAUUUCUGCUGUUAGUAACAUGGUUCUUUUGUUUCUCUUUUUUGGUCUGAUACCUUUUUGAGCUUAACUGUAUAUGCAUAGCUUUGCUACCACACAUGAUUGUUUUCUAGGGGACUAAAUCCCCUUGGGGAGAUUUCCCUUCAUUUGGAUCCGCUUUGAGAUUUCAGUCAUUUCACCUCACUUUGAUCCGUGUUGAGGGAUUUUACCUCAUUUGGAUAUGCUUUGAGGAGAUUUCACCUCACUAUAAUUAAUACGCCUUGUGGGAAUUUGACCUCACUUGGAUCCGUCUUGAGGAGAUUAAUUUCACUCACUAAGGUCUGUCUUGAGGGAAUUUAACCUCACUUGGAUAUGUUUUGAAGAGAUUUUACCUCACUUGGAUCUUCCUUAAGGAGAUUUCAUUUCACUUGGAUCUUCCUUAAGGAUAUUUCAUCUUGACUACUCUUUUAGCUCUUCUUCCCUAUCAGGGAUAAGGAUAGGUGGCUGACAGUCUGUUAGAGGAGGGAGGAGAAAGAAAGAAAAGGAACAGAGAGAGGGAUGGAAAGAAAGAAAGGGAACAGAGAGAGGGAUGGAAAGAAAGAAAGGGAACAAAGAGGGGAGGGAGGGAAAGAAAGAAAGAGAAGAGGGGGAGGAGGAGAAAGAAAGAGACCAUGGAAAAAAAAUAGAGAAGGAAGAAAGAAAACGGAGUCGAAGAUAAAAGUAGAUGUGUGAGGGGAAGAGAGUUUUUGACAUUUGAGAGAGAAAGAAUCAGGGUUUUAAUCUUGCAGACUUUUUUGUGAGUGUUUAAGAAAUCCAAGCCUAGAGUUUUGAUUACUGUAAGUUUGAGGAAGGUGUGAGCAUGAUUUCAUGGUUUUGAGUUUCACCUUUGAGAUUUCCAGAGUUGGGGGUAUUUAAAGAGGUUGAGAUUUUUAGCAGAGGUUGAGCUUUAUUUCGGUGAACUCUAUGGCUUUUGUUUCUGUUUAAGAUACGAGUUCACUCGAUUUGGCUUUCCAUUAGCUAGAAGGGGAAGUUACCAAUUGUAAAAUUUGGAAGGACUUGGUCAUAAUCCCAAGAAGCGUAGUAAGAUCAAUACUAUCAAUAGGAACAAGAAAAAAUAUAAUCAUUGUGGUGGUUCACGUCCUUUCACGAAACACAUGGAAGCUGAAGAACAGAAAGGUAAAAAUGUGACCUAUGUUGAGAAUUGGGGUCUCAUGCAUCAACAUGAGGCAGCAAUGGUGGUGUUUGGAUCAAUGAAGAAGCGGAGAGGACAGGGAAAAAUAUGAUUGAAGAGUUGAUUAAAACCAAGCAACAAUUGGCUGAGUCUGAGGAUACCCCAUUUGAAGAUGUUGUAGUGUCUAUCCCUAUGCAAUUAGAUAUCUUGGCUAAGGAGCUCGAAACUAUGAAGGGUAAGACCAUUCGAGGUGUGGGCUAUGGUAUUAAAAAGGACAGAUUUUGUUCUUCAAUCCCUGCAUCCACGUCUAACCCAACAAAUGCUAAACUUAUGAGAUACAUUAUUCUAUUGGAAGAACGACUUACUUCUCUUGAGGGUGAGAAACAACCUCAACCUCCUACACAUGAUGUGGAUAAAGAGGGUGGUGAGGGUGAUGAGGAUGAGGAUGAGGAUAUGGAUGUGCUUUAGGUGUUGAUAUCCUCAUUAGUUUUUUACAAGUUAUAUUUUGGAUGUACAAAUGAAGCCAUGAUAUUUCCACAUGCAUAGAUAUCCCUUAGUUUAGGGCUUUGGCAGGUUUUUGGGUCUUAGAUGUCCUUUUUAGCUUUUGGAAUGAUACAAUUUGGAUGUAAAAAUGAUGCCUUCAAAUUUCAAAUGCAUCUAGCACUUGAUAUGUAAAUUUUUCAAGUUACUAUCUUUUGUAAAGUACUAGUUGAUAAGCAUGUUAACAUAUAUUUAUGCUA